AGUGAACGCUGGCGGUAUGCCUAACACAUGCAAGUCGAACGGCAGCACAGUAAGAGCUUGCUCUUCCGGAUGGCUAGUGGCGUACGUGUGAGGAAUACAUCUGACUCUACUUUUUCGUGUUGGUUAACGUAUGGAAACUUACUCUCAUACCGCAUCUGACCUUCGGUUGUAAGCAUUGGAUCUUCUCACCUUGCGCGAUUGAAUGAGCCGCUGUCGUGUUAGCUCGUUGGCGGGUUAAUGGCCCACCAAGGCGCCGAUCCGUAGCUGGUCUGAGAGGAUGAUCGGCCACAUGGGAACUGAGACAGGGGCCAGACGCCUGAGGGAGGCAGAAGAUGGGAAUAGUGGGCAAUGGGAGCAAGCCUGAUCCAGGCAUAGCGAGUAGGUUAAGAAGGCCUUCGGGGUGUAAAGCCCUUUUGUUGGGAAAGAAAAGCAGAAGGUUAAUACCCAGCUGUUGUGACGGUACCGAAAGAAUAAGCACCGGCUAACUUCGUG
rnacentral:rRNA from 1 species